UAAAACCAUAACCAAGGUAAGCAACGGAAUACACCCUAAAUAGUAUAAAGUGUAAUUGAAACCACUAAUUGCGAAGUUCUGAACGAAGCUUCAGUCAAUUUCAACAUAAAGUUUAAACGAUUUAAAUCUUAAAGGUAGGUUAACAUACAAGCGAAUUGUGAAUAUUGUUGUUAUUGGUCAAUUUCAAAAAAUACAGAGGCGACAAAAUUGACAGAAAGUUGUUUUCAUAUUAUGCGAAUUCGCAUAAUUUAAAAUCUGGGGGGCGGGAAUAUUGAAACUGAUUUAAUUUUUGCGAAUAUUCGCUUCAAAUUUUGAUGAGCGCGUGCGUAGAUAUGAUUUUUUAUGUAAUGUCAUCUCUUGUCAUUUAUUUCUUGUUAUAUUUAUAGUAAUAUAAACAUUGGUUAAGAUUUCUUUAAUUUGUAGUACGAAGUUUUACAAAUAUUUUGACUACAGACUGGUAAUUUUGGAACAUUUUCAAAACCAUCGAAAAUCGAAAGCCUUUAUAGACGUUCUAUCUUAGUUUCUAAAUAUUUUCCAUCGUUAAUUCUCAUUUAUUGCACUGUGAUAUGCAAUGUGAUAUGCUCCUUGCUGUUUUCAUUUUUUAAAUAUUUCACAUGUUCCAAUAAUAAUUGUUCUGUAUUUUAGUGUAUUUUAUUUUUGCUAUUUUUUAUUUAUAAAUAUACAGCAAUAGAUCGUCUUCUACUCCAAAAAUAUCAGCUUCAUCCAUUACACAAAUAUAUAAAAGUAAACCUAUGUAUGCUAUCACGGCACCGCGUUGACUGACAACGAAAAUGGCAACUGGAGACAAAAAUAAAAUUCUUCAUUCCAGUGACAUUUUCAACAUGUGUUUAAAAACACAAAUAUCACUAGAAUUUGUUGCGAAUUCUCUCUAUAUGAACUGCGAAAAUAUUUUAUAUACGAGUAUAACAUUUUAUUUUAUGAAAUUCGCUUUCGCAUUUCGCAAUUUGCUUCUAUAUGAACCAACCUUAAGUCUUUGACAUAAAUAAUUAUUUUCUUUCAAGCCAAGUCAUUUUCGUAAAGAUUUAAAUCGAUUUAAUGUAAUUUAAGUCGUUUUUAUGGCAUAAGUUUAUUUUAAUCAUGAUAAUCUGCAAGUCAGCAAAAUGACCUAAAUCAAAAUAAUUAUCGUCAAGUCGAAGCAGCCAAAAUUCAGUUGAAGUACUAAUUGAAGUACUAAUUUUUGUACCCUAUUAUUGCCGAUUUCCUUAUUAUCUAUAUUAUUAAUUACAAACACAAAAAUAUGUUUUUAUAGAAUUUAAUCGAUUUUGUAGUACUUAUUUGUAUCCAUUACAAUUUAGAUGUCAUCGAAUGCAUGUCCAUUAAAAAGUGGUAAUAUGUUUUGCUCACUGUGUAGCGUAAUAUGUCGAUGGAAUAGGCUAAGGGCUAGAGGAUUUUAAGUUUGUCAAUUUUUGCCUACCUGCUUUGAUUUGCACCGCACGCCACUGCGUAUGGAGGUAAUAAAGCUGCACUGUCCAUGGCUAAUGAUCCUGGUGAUCGAUGCCUUGAAAAAAAUAAUUUGGCAAUAUUAAUAUACUUUUUUUUCUUAAAAAUGAAAGCUAAAGGAACUAAUAAAAUGCUCAAGUAUAGGUGAUGUUUCCUGUUAUCAUAUUUUUUUAUUUUAUUCAUGUCUUAUUCAGAUAUAAAAAAUAAAAAAUUUAUCUGUUUGCAUUUUUACAUCAGUAAUUAGCAUGAUAUUGUAUUCCAUAAA
rnacentral:lncRNA from 1 species